rnacentral:tRNA from 1 species
AAGGUUUUAAGUUAAUUAAACUAAUAGCCUUCAAAGCUGUAAAUAAAGAAGACUCUUUAAACCUUA